AAGACUUGUCAGACAAGACCGAUCGCCUAUUCAAGCUCGAAUGUUUAUUCCACCCGCUUUUGGAGAGAAAAACCAGGUCCGGCAGAAGGGAAAGGCGGUGGCCGUACUGCUGAGGACAGAGAAGAAGCUGGUGCAGGCUUGUUGGAAGUGCUAUUCAGGAAGAUACGGCAACUCUGAGGAAAACAGAUUGUGAUUUGUCUCUCCUGUCAUAGCAGCGCAAAGGAUAGCAAUGAAAAGUGGCUGAAGCGAACCGAGCAGGUUAGCUGUUAUCCACGUCACACGGGGGCAUUUUCUGCAAGACACCCGGCCGGCCGGCGCCAUGGAGCAGGAAGGCACAGUCGACUUCAAAUCCUUGCAGGCAAAGUUUCAGCAGGAAGGUACCUUGAGACAAAUAAUGAGUAAACCUGCCAUUCCAGAGAAGCCAAAAGUUGUUCCUCCUUCUGGGUCUCGCAAUUCUCUCCUGAACUCCAUCAACAUUGCAGUUGAGAACAAGAUGCCUGUCAUACCCAGGGUGGUCUUCAAAGAAGACAAGAAAGAGUUCAACAACAAGCAAACGCAGUCCACCCCAGGGCCCUUCAAAGUCAAAAAUGCUGUUAAAGAGCCCACCUCGAACACAGAAGUGGCAGACAACAUCCAGAAGAAAGAGGGAGACAUCGUGAAGCAGGCCUUCAAGGAUAAAAAGCCAUCUAUUGUGCCCCCAGUGUCUGUGUUGGAGGAGAAUUCCAACCCAAAACUUGACCCAGUGUCUCCAGUUCACAGUCCCACUCCUGAAAAGGCAGUCCUGCCUUCAAAACCAACCAAAACCUUAAGUAUAGGAAAAGAAUUUUCUCAAAAAACUGAGGGUUCUCUGAAACUGAGCUCAACUUCAGAACCACAAGCUACAACACCGGCACAGAUUAGUGUGGAAGACCCAAAGCCCGACGGUGGAAACUUUCUGUCUGAGAUAAGGCAACCCACAGAACCGCAGUCUCCCACUUCUUAUAGUUCAGCUCAAAGCCCUCUUCCUAAGAAAGCAGCACAGCCUGCAAAUUUCACCAGAAUUGAAAGUCCAAUAAAGGACAUUUCUCAGAUCACUGAGGGUUCUACUAAACCUAUCUCAGCUUCAGUACCAACGGCUAGAACACAGGCACAGAUUGGUGCAGAAGGCCCAAAGUUUGAGAAUGGAAACUUCUAUGAGAUAAGUCCACCUUCAGAACUACAAUCAUCCAGUUUUUACAGUUCCGUCAAGCCCACAGAAGGAAAGCCUUUAAGUGUUUCUUCAGUGGUUAAGACUUCUCCUUGUGAUCGUCGUGUUCUGAAGGCCUUGGAAAAAGCUAAGCAGAAAGCCUCUGUCAAAAAUGUACCCCUUAAUGAGGGUCUGUCAAACUUAGAAAACAUUACUAAACUGCACCCUGAGAUCCCUCCUGUCGACUACGAACACUCUCUUGCAGGGGGCAGCUCCAAACAACUGUCAAACCUCCCUUUGAUCUCUGACAUGUCUGUUCCACCAGCUAUUGAGGUUAAUGGCCCCUCUCAAAAACUCAAAGUUACAGCUCUUAAAAACCCGACUCUUGAUGACCCACUUGAUACAACAGGACUGAAAGCUCCAGAGGGAUUUGACACCCCAGACUUUGAGACUUCAGAAUUCCCAGACUUUGACACAUCUAAAUUUGAAGCUGCAGAGUGUCAGGGUGUAUUUGUUCCACAUCAUGAAAGUGUGCAGCAUGGGGCUGUGGAACACUGGACCGUCAACCAUAGGGAUCUGAAAUAUCCAGAAGCUCCACAUCAUCCAAAUGGUGGAGUUCUGCAAGAGGAGGUUUCUGUGAGUGAGACACCUGAAGCUGAAGCUGCCAGCACUGCAAUCCUGCACUCAGUAACCAAUACACAGUCAAUACCCCGUGCACUGCAUGAGCAGAGCGGUUAUGAGCAUUCUGUCGCUCACGAAAGCACUGACAAAGGCAGCAAGUCCCACAAAGGUCAGACCACACGGAAACGCAAAGUCUCCAUCAAAAAUCCCUAUGCUGAUAGUAAGGCAGUGAAUGAAAACUCUUCAAAAGGCUCAUGGCUCCGUGGUUCAAAGCAUGACAAGAGUGAGCGGAAGGGAAGCCCAGAAGGACCUUCUGACAAAGAGCUGAAGAAGAAAGAAAAACAACGUCUGGAGAAAGAGAAGAAGGAACAGAAGGAACGGGAGAAGAAGGAAAACGAAAUGAAAAAGAAGUUUAAAGUAAAGCUCUGACAUGAGAUUUAAUUAUGGAAAGUCAUGAGCUGUGGUGUAAUGUAUUGGUUGUUGUCGUUGUUGCUGCCUUCGAAGAGAAGGAAGUGUUCUCAUUGGCUUACCAAUAGGCGGUGGUGGACUCUGUGGCCAAGAAAACCUGUAGGAAUACAUUCCUCCUCCACAACCAGUGUUAAGCAGUUCACCAUGAAAGCUCAUACUAACACUGAUCAAAUAUUAAAUAAAUGCCUCAUUCUGAAAAAAAAGCUCCA
rnacentral:lncRNA from 1 species